AUAUGUGAUUAUAUCAGCACUAACGCAUCGAAUCUCAUCAAACCUCUGAAGUUAAGCAUGCUUGAGCCAGAGUAGUACUGAGAUGGGAGACUCCUUAGGAAUUAAGUUCUCCUGUUACAUCCC
rnacentral:rRNA from 2 species